rnacentral:rRNA from 1 species
UACAGAGGGUGCAAGCGUUAAUCGGAGUUACUGGGCGUAAAGGGCGCGUAGGCGGUCUAUUAAGUUUGAUGUGAAAUCCCUGGGCUUAACCUAGGAACUGCAUUGAAUACUGGUGGACUAGAGUACUGUAGAGGGUAGUGGAAUUUCCGGUGUAGCGGUGAAAUGCGUAGAGAUCGGAAGGAACACCAGUGGCGAAGGCGGCUACCUGGACAGAUACUGACGCUGAGGCGCGAGAGCGUGGGGAGCAAAC